rnacentral:rRNA from 1 species
GGCUCAACCGUAGUAAGCUCUUGAAACUGGGAGACUUGAGUGCAGGAGAGGAGAGUGGAAUUCCUAGUGUAGCGGUGAAAUGCGUAGAUAUUAGGAGGAACACCAGUUGCGAAGGCGGCUCUCUGGACUGUAACUGACGCUGAGGCACGAAAGCGUGGGGAGCAAACAGGAUUAGAUGCCCUGGUAGUCCACGCUGUAAACGAUGAGUACUAGGUGUCGGGGGUUACCCCCUUCGGUGCCGCAGCUAACGCAUUAAGUACUCCGCCUGGGAAGU